AAAAAUGUUAUCACAAAACCGGAAAUGAUCGUCGUGGUGACGGAAGCCAGCUUGAGCUGGCUCGGCUGAAAAAGGGGGCUGGACUCGGUCCAGCGUCCUUCCUAUAAAAACCUCGAGAGUUGACAGAGUUCAGUCUCGACUGGGACACGGGAAACUAGCCUACGUUGAGCGCCUCGAAGGAAGAAAAGACCAGCGCCGGUUCUGCUUCUACCAGAGACAUCCCCUUUAGGAGAGGACUAUGAAAACAGACGGCUUUCACUGAAAGACCAAAUGAAAUUCUUGGUCUGUUUCGUCUGGUCCAGUUGGCAGUCAGGGCUACUGUAAACAUCCUUGACUGGAAGCUGGUGUUGAUUUCUGGGGCUUUCAGUCGGAUGUUUGCAGGAGCCAACUGCUAGUUCCAUCCUGACCCGCAGAAGCUGAGUGUGCAGACGGCCUGGACGCCAAAAGGUCACGGGGGUCGUCUCAUUCAGAAGUGAAACAGAAACGUAUUUCACCAUGUUUUCAACCCUCUGAUGAAAUACAGCAACGUCAUCCACCAAAGAUCCAGAAAGAGAGGGUCAGGAAAGAGAACUGGAUUGAGGAAAGAGUGAGGACGAUCCUUUCCCCUCUACAGUGAUGCUGUGGAGGAAGUGGGUGUAACGCACACGCCACCGAACCAACAGGAAGGAAGGAAGCACUCUAGUGUUACCGCCACCUCAGCCACUACACACUUAUGAUGCUGUGAAUUAAGACUUUCAUUGAAAUGUUUCCUCCUUGAAAUUACGUCUGCUCCUCUUCAAAGAAAUAUCAAAGUAAAAAAUGUUUUGUGUUUUUGUCUAAUGGAGUAAAAAACUUUUACUUUGAAAUGUAUUUGUCUUUUACAAAACUUGUAAAAACUAUUGACAAAGUCCUUCAGUGUAAAUUUAGUGUGCAGUGAUGUUUGACUUUUGAGCUCUUGGUGGUGUAAACAUCCUACACUCUCGGCAUGCGCCCCCUGGUGGCCGGGAGUGGGACUGUUUGCACUUCCUGCCUCAGAAAUUCCUCCUGAAGCUGUGGAGCAAAGUCGACUCCUUUACAUUUCUGUUCAUUAACCGUUCAAAAGAUAAACAUGUUGGAUGUGGUCUGAAGUUUACGUUUUCACCCCAGAAUGUUUAUUUUUCACAUACGGUGGUGUAUGGAGCAUUUUAGUUCUUGGAUUAAAAAAAUGAACAUUUUAUUUUGAAGAUUUAUCCUGCAAAAUUGACUUUUUAUGUAAAUUUCUAAAAAAAAAAAAAAACUCCUUUACUGUUUCAAGCAGUUGCAGGGAAGAUUUUCUUUUUUCUUUAAUUAUUUCAGAAACCACAAGUUUUAUUUCUCACCACAUUUUGAUUUGUAGUUGAACGUGUGUUGUGUGUGUUUCUCUGUAAAUAAAGUUGAUUCAAAAAGUC